ensembl:lncRNA
GUACAAAGGGUAGGGGCCAGCCUGCCAUUCUGUGAGGAGGCAAGGAGAAGGGACUUAAGGGCACAUAUAAGCUCGGAGUUGGAGCACAGCGAGAGCACUCGGACAAUAUCUGGAGGUGGGACACCCACACAGAGAGAACCCCAGCCCCAUCCUCCUGGCUGGUGGAGCAGCCACCAGGAAAGCACAGCAGUGACUUCAAACAGUCCCGCUGGACUGCUUCAAAGAAGUGACUGCAAGUGGGUGAAACAAGCAAGCAGAAGGAGGAUGGCAGAAAUGGUAAUUAAGGCUGUCCUUGGGCUCAUGUGUUGGGCCACAAGUUAUUUAGAUAAUCAUGACUUAUCCCAGUGUUCUGGCUGCUGGCUUGACUGUUGUGAGUCAGCAGGGCUUUGUAGGCACUACAAAGCCUGGAUGCAAGUCUCCAAACAUGAUCCUACUGAGCCUCGAAGUCCCUUUAUUCAGUGAGAGCUGAAUCAGGACCAAUUCAUUCUGUGUAUAAGUCAGAAAAGAAAUUUUUAAUUACC